UAUACAUAAACAUUGUAUGUUACAGGUGCAGGAGGUCUAUACAUAAACAUUGUAUGUUACAGGUGCAGGAGGUCUAUACAUAAACAUUGUAUGUUACAGGUGCAGGAGGUCUAUACAUAAACAUUGUAUGUUACAGGUGCAGGUGGUCUAUACAUAAACAUUGUAUGUUACAGGUGCAGG